AAGUGCGGAAGAGAUAACCGCUGAAAGCAUCUAAGCGGGAAACUUGCCUCGAGAUGAGUCUUCCCUGUCGCUUUAAGUGACCUAAAGGAACGUUUAAGACUAAGACGUUGAUAGGCUGGGUGUGUAAGCGUAGCGAUACGUUGAGCUAACCAGUACUAAUGAACCGUGAGGCUUAACCUG
rnacentral:rRNA from 1 species